rnacentral:sRNA from 1 species
AUGUAUGCAACUUCGCUGGAUUAUGUUAGGUUUAUAAUUGAUACAUUACGGAAAGUAACUCCAUUUGCAACAUGUAUAAUAUCAUAUAGUUGCAGGCACGUAGCAUCGUUUUUGAAAGUGGGGGGCCAGACUCAUCCAAAAAAUCUUGACAAGCAAAAAAAAAAAAAAGAAAAAAAAAAAAAAGGAAUUUUCAACUUUUCCAAAAUCUUCAAAAUCCUAUUCCGGGGGAGGGGGGGGGGGGGUUUGGGGGGUAUAUAGUAUAUAACUUCAAUUUCACUCCUCAUAUUCCUUAUUUUCAUAUCAAUUUUUUUACAUACUCCCAAAAAAGUGGGGGGGGGGGGGGACAACUCCAUGAUAAUUCAAUUUUUUAUAUGUAAAUUUUAAAAAAUUUGUUGCCGCGAGAAAAAGGGGGGGGGGGCAGGCCCCUCCCCCUGGCCCCCCUGAUGCUACGUGCCUGGUUGUCUAGGGUUAUGCCUCUUUGUUUACAUUUGUCGGUCGUCAAACUUUGCUUGGGCAUUUCAGAUUUAUAUAUCUAGAUGCAUAUCUUAUUGUGAUUAAUUGAAUUAGGUUAUACUGAUAUAUCUGAUAGUCAUACAUUUCAUCAUUGUUAACAUAUAUUUGCUAAGAUGAAUUAAUUUGUGUUUUUGAAUUAGUUUAUUUGCAUUAUUUUUUCUCUAUUUUUUUGUAGUAAAUCGUCUUACGUCAAUCAUCUUAUGCCUUACAUCUAUCAUCUAGAGUCUAUCAACAUAUUGUCGUAUACCAUAUAUUCAUUGGUCAACAAUCAUAUUUUGUCACCCUCCAAAAUAAAGACGCAUUUACAAGAG